AGGAGUCCAUGGACAGAGGGCCUGGUGGGCUACAGUCUACAGGAUUGCGGAGUGUACACCACUGAGCAAAGACACUAUAAAGUCACCAGAAUCACCUCCCUAGCAUUAUCUGAAGACAGAUGAUUUGCUGUGGGAAAGCUGGCUGCCAUGUGGCGAUAAACCAAGGCCUCCUGCAAACAGACAUGCACAUGAGCCAUCCAACAGUGGCUCCUCCAGCCCCAGUCAGGCCUUCAGAGCCAAGGACACCUACUUUGCCUGGGCAUGUGGCAGGUGAAUGGGCCAGGGAAGUGACGCCCCCAGAGCAUCCCUCAUCAGUGCUUAUUGGAGUUGGUAGAUGAGCUCUCCUUUCCAAGUAAGAAAAUAUUCAUUU